CUUUACAGCAGCAUUGCACAGUGGUUCUGCCAUCCAGCCUUUCCUGUUUCCCAAGAUUCUUCUCCAGAAAGAUCUCCUCUGGGUUUGACUGCACUGGAAAAUCAUCUCCUGUUAGAACACAACUUGGAAAAGUCCGUUUAACUACACAGGACAUCAAACUUUUUUUGGCAAGAGUGAGUAGAUGCCAUUAGUUCCAACACACAAAUCAUAACCCUGAGGCUACUUCUCAGCAUGGCACUUUGUAAAAUGCAGACUCAGGACUUUGUUCACGACUCCCACGCCAUUCUGUGAUCUGAUAUGAAGCAUAAAAAAUGAUCCAAGCAGUGUCACACUAUAAGUGACUUGACAGACACUAUUCCUGUGGAAGUUCAGUAGAUGAGAAUUAAAAAUUUGCUUUUCUGAGAGCUAAAGAACAGCAGAAUUUUGACCUUAGUAACUGUGUUGCAAAGAACACAAACCUCCUGUCACCAGUGUUUAUAACUGUUGAUGGACCUUAAGUGAACCCUGUGCAAAGAAAUGUGUGAGCAUUUUUCUGGCCACAUGACAACUUACUGUAGCAAGGUCUACACUUACUACUACUACUACUACUACUACUAAUACUACUGUAGCACUUUAAAUGGUGCAUAAAUGCACAAUGGUGUUCCAGAUAAAGUCACUGAAUUUCUGGUAAUAUAAAUCCAGUUAAAACCUGGCUCCAUUGAGAGAUAAAACCAUCUUGGGCAGGUCUGUAUUGUAUAAUUUUUCUGGCAGCACUCAUUUUACACACAAAACUAUGAGUAAAUCCAUAUGCACAGCUACCCUGUGGCAGCAGGACCCCAUCUUUCUUCCAUCAAGGCAACACCAGUUCUGCACAGGAUAGAAACUUUCAGAAGGCAUCUGAUGUGCCUGUGGUUUCUGCUAGCUGUCACAGCCCCUUUAACAGUGAGUCUCUCAGAGUGCACUGCACGCUGUGUUGGUACAGCAGGCAUAGAGGGGAACAGAGCUUCCAGGAGCAGCGCACAUGUAAACAUGCUCUCUUGGCUUCUCUGUGAUGGUUGUGGUUUGUCAGCAGGAGGCUUGCAAUGUAGAAGAGCCCCAAAUCAUAAAUACUUCUGCAGAUAAGAUGCUAACUGGGACCCAGGGGUCUGGCGUCAAUUCUUGGCUCUGCUACCAACUCUUUGUGUGACCUUGGGCAAGCUGUAGUCUCUCUGGGCAUGUCUAUGUGCAUUAAUGCAUUGUUGCUACUGCACAUUAAGUUUAGUAUCUCUAAUAAGAGGUACUAACUAAAUGCACAGUAGCUGGUGCUAUUGCACAGUAGCAAAGGCACAUGGUCUUUCCAUGACGCUUAGUACGUAGCAGACUAAAUCUACUUCACUUUAGCACAGCUUUUGCCAUGACACAUUAAUGUGCAGUAGAAUUGGUCUCUGUGUACCUUACUUGUGAAGUGGGGGUAGUACAGCUUCCCUUCGCUCAUCUUUUGCCUUGUUCACUUAGAUAGUAAAUGCUUCCAGGAGGAACUGUCUUUGGCACUGUGUCUUAUACACUGGCUAGCACAACAUGGCCCUGAUUUCAGUUGGCCUGUUGGUGCUAUAAACCUUAAUAACUUGGCCCCCUUAAAUUGUAGAUGUCAACAUCUCAACAAUUUUCCUAGGAUUAUUUCCCACCCUCCACCCUCUUCUGAAUGUGCCAUAUAAUAAACACAGCCGGGGCUGCAAUCAGUCAUGAUUCCUUGGGUUCAUCCACACAUGCAAGCAUGUGUGCUUGCAGCAGCUCAAACAGAAGUGGUACAAAUUAGAGCCAGGGCUUUUUGCCUUAGUGCAUGUGCCCGGACAUGGACUAUGUUGUGGAGCAAAUUGUGCCACUGGGGGUAAAAUAACCCUACCUGGCUCCUCCUGGAUCUGUAGCCAGGAGGAGCAGUAUAAAAACCUGUCCUGUGCUGGCCCCCGCAGUAUAAAAACCUGCCCUGGCCAGCAGCUCAGGGCUACUUGCCCUCAGUAGCUUCUGGGGCCCAGCCACUUGGUCUCUGGGGACACUAGCCCCCUGUGUCAGUUACACUGCUGAACCAGCAUCCCAAAUCCACAUUCUUUCACAGUUAGAACAAAAGAGAAAGAGGGAGGGAUUGAUCAGAUGGGCAAUGUUUUAUUGCUAUACUUACAAUGUUAAAGCCCACAAGUGU